rnacentral:ncRNA from 1 species
UGAUAGCGUUGAAACGUGAGGUUGCUGCGGCCAAAAACAGGCGCGCAGGUUUUCCGUGGAGCGAAUGUCAAGUUAUGAAAACUGGCGACAA